rnacentral:rRNA from 1 species
GACGUAGGUGGCGAACGUUAUCCGGAAUUAUUGGGCGUAAAGGAUGCGUAGAUGGUGUAGUAAGUUAUCGGUGGCAAAUCGAGGCUCAACCUCGUGGAAGUCGGUAAUACUGCUAUGCUAGAGGAUAGGAGAGGUUAACGGAACUCCCUGUGGAGCGGUGAAAUGCGUAGAUAUAGGGAAGAACACCAAUCAAGCGAAGGCAGUUAACUAUUCGUAUUCCUGACAUUGAGGCAUGAAGCGUGGGAGCAAACGGG